AUUGAACGCUGGCGGGAGGCUUAACACAUGCAAGUCGAGCGAGCGGCGGACGGGUGAGUAAUAUAUGGGAACGUGCCUGAUGGCGGGGGAUAACUACUGGAAAGGGUGGCUAAUACCGCAUACCAUCAGAUGUGCCCAGAUGGGAUUAGCUAGUUGGUGGGGUAAAGGCUCACCAAGGCGACGAUCCGUAGCUGGUCUGAGAGGAUGACCAGCCACACUGGAACUGAGACACGGCCCAGACUCCUACGGGAGGCAGCAGUGGGGAAUAUUGCACAAUGGGCGCAAGCCUGAUGCAGCCAUGCCGCGUGUAUGAAGAAGGCCUUCGGGUUGUAAAGUACUUUCAGCGGGGAAGCGUUAUCCGCAGAAGAAGCACCGGCUAACUACGUGCCAGCAGCCGCGGUAAUUC
rnacentral:rRNA from 1 species